ensembl:lncRNA SNHG7 small nucleolar RNA host gene 7
CUCUGCGUGCGCCGGAGGCUGCCGUGGCGGGUGGGCCGCCUGACUUCUCCUCCCGGCCAGUUCUCGAGCGCCUCACCGGGCCUCGCCCUGCAGCCUCGCUCUCGCUGGCGCUGCGCGGCCUAGGGGACUGGGCUGCUGGCCUCCGGGUGCGGGGUGGGGGCAGGCUCCGACCUGGGGCGUCCUGGCCGCGCGAGCCGCGGGAUGGGGGCCCGGGCCGCGGAGGAGGCGCCGCUGGUGUGUCCCUUGGUGGAGAGGGCGCUGCCGGCCCUGCGCGGUUUCCAGCCAGGAAGCUUCGGGAAGCCUGGACGUCUGCUCACUGGAGAUGACACGUGCGUGGGGUGUUGGGUAAGUUGGUGCAUUGGAGCUGGAACAGGGUCAAUCCUCCAAUGUAACUAAGCCCUCCUGUGCAACAUCUUAAGUGACUGGAGGGACCAGUCGGUCUUGUGUUCACAUUGAGGCUAGAAGCUGUCUCCAGGGGAGUAAAAACGGAUUAUUUAGUCUUCAACAGGACACUGCCCCUAGAGGCGUUGCAGCUGUGGCUGCCGUGUCACAUCUGUGUCAUUAGGUGGCAGAGAUUAGAGAGGCUAUGUCUACGCUCAGCGUUCUGCCCCGUGAACGUUUGAAUGUUUGAUAGUCUCACACUCCUGUUUUGUGGACAGGCAUCUGUUUUCCUUCGCUGGUAUCUGGGAGAGAGGGUGGGCCCUGUGAGUGGGCUUUCUAACUCUCGCGCUGGGCUAGGCUGGCCUCUAGGGGUCUGAAGGGAUAGUGGGAAGGUGGAGGGUGCCUUCACCAGGAGCAGCCUUCAUGAGUGAGUUUUAAGAACCUGUGAGGAUCGGUCAGGUCAGGUGAGGUACGCGCUGGAUCAUGCCGUACACCGUGUCAGGAUCACGCAGGACAGGACUGGGGAAGGGUUUGCUGGCGUCUCGGUUAAUAGCAGUAACGGCAGCCGCUUGUGUUCUUGAUUCUUUGCCAAGCAUUCUUGUUAUUUAACACGGGAAGGAGGUGACUUCGCCUGUGAUGGACUUCCAGUGUGAGCACUGGCCAGAGUGACCAGGCUGACCAGCACCAGCCCUGAUCCAGGUAAGAGGUGAGGCGGAGGCUUGCCCUCCUUCCCUGCCUGCCGGGUGCGUGUGAGCGGCUGCCCUGCGGAUGCUGUCCUGGACCUGUUGGCACCACAGACAGUUGCUCUGCUGUGCCUGUGGCCUCGGGGCAAAGAGAAAGUGGCGAUUUCUACACUCAGUGCUCGGGAACCAGUGGGCACUGAGAAUGGUUUAUGGCCUGACAUUACUUGCAACCAAAGCCAGGCAGCAUUUGGAUUUUCGCUUUUGGAAACCACCUUACCUGGUUUGCUCCAUGAGGGAGGGGCAGCAACAUCGCUGGGAACCCUGAGGUGUAGAUAUGUAUAAAUGAGCUGUGUGUGUAUCUGAAGCUCGGGCACUUGUGGGGUUACCAGGAGUGUGCGUCUCACUCCCAGGCCUCGUUCUGGAAACGAUUCUGUAGGUCUGUCUGGGAGGCCUUAGGCAAGUUUGAUUAAGAACAGUCGAGCUGGAUAAACAGGCUGUUCCUUGUCCAGCACUAGUCAUCCCAGGGGGGCGGGGGCGGGGCUGCAACUCCUGUGCACAAAGGAAGGGCCCUGGGUAGGGGUCAGGAGCUGCCUUGCCCAGAGAUGUGUCUGGGUCACUUUGGAAACAGGAAUCCUCUCCCCAAAAUGGGUAGCAAUGGGGGUACAGAGGCCAAAGACGCAGCUGCAUGUCCUGCAGUGCCUGGGACGCCCCGUAGUGAAGAGUGAUGUGGCCCAAAUGUCAGCAGUGCCAGUGUCAGACUCCUGCUAAGAGACAGUAUCAAGAAAGAUAACUUCAAAAUACACUUUCUGGAGGCCUGGCGCGGUGGCUCAGGCCUGUAAUCCCAGCACUCUGGGAGGCCAAUGCAUGUGGAUCACCUGAGGUCAGGAGUUCGAGACCAGCCUGGCCAACUGCCUGAAACCCCAUCUCUACUAAAAAUACAAAAAUUAGCCAGGUGUGGUGGCGCAAGCCUGUAAUCCCAGCUAUUUGGGAGGCUGAGGCAGGAGAAUCGCUUGAACCCGGGAGGCAGAGGUUGCAGUGAGCCGAGAUCGCACCACUGCACUCCAGCCUGGACAACAGAGUGGGACUCUGUCUC